rnacentral:sRNA from 1 species
CGGCGGGUGCGCUUGACGAUGGGGGGAGGUCUCUAUAGAAUUCCGUACCCCUAAAAUAGGCGGGGCAUUUUGCCCUGCCGUUUUAUUUAAUAUGUCCCAGGGACAUCAGUGGAGUUUUGCUAGA